rnacentral:rRNA from 1 species
AGAGUUUGAUCCUGGCUCAGAGCGAACGCUGGCGGCAGGCCUAACACAUGCAAGUCGAACGAAGUCUUCGGACUUAGUGGCGGACGGGUGAGUAACACGUGGGAACGUACCUUUUGGUUCGGAACAACUCAGGGAAACUUGAGCUAAUACCGAAUGUGCCCUUAGGGGGAAAGAUUUAUCGCCAUUAGAGCGGCCCGCGUUAGAUUAGCUUGUUGGUGAGGUAAAGGCUCAC